rnacentral:rRNA from 1 species
GAUGCUGGCAGCCAAUUUUUGGGUGCAUGUGCUUGCCCUAACAAAUCAUCUUCCAAACACCUGUGCACACUUUUGAGGGAAUAUUGAGUUGAUUGCCACUUCUGGGUGAUUAUCUUCCAUUCCCUUGAAUUACUAUACACUUUUCAGAAAUGGUGAACGUGAUUUGUGCCGCAAUGGCCAUUAAUACAAUAUAACUUUUAACAACGGAUCUCUUGGCUCUCGCAUCGAUGAAGAACGCAGCGAAAUGCGAUAAGUAAUGUGAAUUGCAGAAUUCAGUGAAUCAUCGAAUCUUUGAACGCACCUUGCGCUCCCUGGUAUUCCGGGGAGCACGCCUGUUCGAGUGUCGUGAAAUUUCUCAAGCUUGGCUGACAAUUUUUUUUUGUCUGUCCUUAGUUUGGUUUGUUGGGCUUUGCCGUCUCCUUCAUUGGGACGGCUGGCCUCAAAAGCAUUAGCUGAUCCUUGUGUGGAACUGGUUCUACUCAGCGUGAUAACAGUCUGAUCGCUGAGGACAUCUUUUGGGAUGGCCAGUCCCCAUUUGGGUUGCUUCUAAACCCGGUUUUGCAGAUUGUUUUGAUCUGUAUUUCCAAUUUUCAGCUUUGACCUCGAAUCAGGUGGGACUACCCGCUGAACUUAAGCAUAUCAAUAAGCGGAGGAAAAGAAACUAACAAGGAUUCCCCUAGUAACGGCGAGU